rnacentral:rRNA from 1 species
AGGACGAACGCUGGCGGCGUGCUUAACACAUGCAAGUCGAGCGGAAAGGCCCUUCGGGGUACUCGAGCGGCGAACGGGUGAGUAACACGUGAGUAAUCUGCCCCUAACUCUGGGAUAGCUCCGGGAAACCGGGAUUAAUACCGGAUAUGACCACUUUAGACAUCUGUUGUGGUGGAAAGAAUUUCGGCUAGGGAUGAGCUCGCGGCCUAUCAGCUUGUUGGUGGGUAACGGCCUACAAGGCGACGACGGGUA